rnacentral:lncRNA from 1 species
UGUUUAUAUGUGUGUUGGUGAGAUAGGGCCGAGGCCCUAAGAGAAUAAUUUGGAUUAAGGUGGAAGCCGGCCCAGAAGGACCCCGACGGUCUCUGGGGCUCUUUAAAACUUGGAAACUAGUAGGGGAGGUAAGAUUCCCCCUCCAGGGCUAACAACUUAAAAAGAAUAUAUACUUUCUUCCUCUUCUUUUCCAAAACUCACCUCACCUUGCAUAAAAUAGAUUUAUUAAUAAAAACAAACCUCAUAUCCUUUCCUUGAUUAUCCCCCGCAUUUAUUAUAAUUUUAACGCUACAAUUUGCU